rnacentral:rRNA from 1 species
UACAGAGGGUGCAAGCGUUAAUCGGAAUUACUGGGCGUAAAGCGCGCGUAGGUGGUUUGUUAAGUUGGAUGUGAAAUCCCUGGGCUCAACCUAGGAACAGCAUACGUGACUGGCAGGCUAGAGUAUCGAAGAGGGGGGUAGAAUUCCACGUGUAGCAGUGAAAUGCGUAGAGAUGUGGAGGAAUACCGAUGGCGAAGGCAGCCCCCUGGUCAGAUACUGACGCUGAGGCACGAAAGCGUGGGGAGCAAACAGG